rnacentral:lncRNA from 1 species
GCUUCUGCCACUGCAGUGUGACAAGGACUGCACCUCUCUUGUCCCCGUGGAGCUGGCGCCGUGUCCUGUGAGUGUGCUCAGACUGGAGCCCACCCCGGGAUGUUGCAUGUUUUCAUUGUGCUUGAGGUUCCUGUUGUGGGUACUUCCCACUUGAAAUCCUGUCCCUUCGUGUGAGAGCAUCAUAUGAGGAACCUCAGUCCUGCUUUACGGAGCUGUUUACUUGCAGAACAUGCUGACUGGUGCCUGAGGGAAUUAGACAAAAGCACUAAGUGGAGGGCACUCAGUGUAUCACAAACUAGAACAUUAGCACCAACAAGCUCCAAAGCAUCAUCACUCUCUGGAAAGCCUUCUGAAUUAGACAAGAGCUGCCUCUCAGCACAGCUACAAAACACUUUAAACCUGACCAGCUAAAUGGAUAAACCUCGCCUGCGUGGCUUUUAAACUGGGGUUUUGCCCAGCAGAGGAGGAGGCCUGGCUGCUCCGGGAGCUGGAGGAUGGAUUGCUGUGCCUGGGAAUGGCAAAAGGCAGCAGAAUGAGAACCGCCAGGUACCGGCAGAGCUUUUUGCAUUUCUCCCGGAGAAGUUGCUUUACCUCCCUGCUCUGCUGUAGCUUUUCCUUGCUGAUUGCCACUUAAUGCUGAUGGUUCUCUGAUGACUUACACAACGGCUCUCGGAGCUUAGAGUCCCUCCC